AGAGUUUGAUCCUGGCUCAGGACGAACGCUGGCGGCGUGCUUAACACAUGCAAGUCGAGCGAUGAAGCUUCCUUCGGGAAGUGGAUUAGCGGCGGACGGGUGAGUAACACGUGGGUAACCUGCCUCAAAGUGGGGGAUAGCCUUCCGAAAGGAAGAUUAAUACCGCAUAAUAUAAGAGAAUCGCAUGAUUUUCUUAUCAAAGAUUUAUUGCUUUGAGAUGGACCCGCGGCGCAUUAGCUAGUUGGUAAGGUAACGGCUUACCAAGGCAACGAUGCGUAGCCGACCUGAGAGGGUGAUCGGCCACAUUGGAACUGAGACACGGUCCAGACUCCUACGGGAGGCAGCAGUGGGGAAUAUUGCGCAAUGGGGGAAACCCUGACGCAGCAACGCCGCGUGGGUGAUGAAGGUCUUCGGAUUGUAAAGCCCUGUUUUCUAGGACGAUAAUGACGGUACUAGAGGAGGAAGCCACGGCUAACUACGUGCCAGCAGCCGCGGUAAUACGUAGGUGGCGAGCGUUGUCCGGAUUUACUGGGCGUAAAGGGUGCGUAGGCGGAUGUUUAAGUGGGAUGUGAAAUCCCCGGGCUUAACCUGGGGGCUGCAUUCCAAACUGGAUAUCUAGAGUGCAGGAGAGGAAAGCGGAAUUCCUAGUGUAGCGGUGAAAUGCGUAGAGAUUAGGAAGAACACCAGUGGCGAAGGCGGCUUUCUGGACUGUAACUGACGCUGAGGCACGAAAGCGUGGGUAGCAAACAGGAUUAGAUACCCUGGUAGCCCACGCCGUAAACGAUGGAUACUAGGUGUAGGGGGUAUCAACUCCCCCUGUGCCGCAGUUAACACAAUAAGUAUCCCGCCUGGGGAGUACGGUCGCAAGAUUAAAACUCAAAGGAAUUGACGGGGGCCCGCACAAGCAGCGGAGCAUGUGGUUUAAUUCGAAGCAACGCGAAGAACCUUACCUGGACUUGACAUCCCUUGCAUAGCCUAGAGAUAGGUGAAGCCCUUCGGGGCCAGGACUCCAC
rnacentral:rRNA from 1 species